rnacentral:lncRNA from 1 species
AACAUAUCCGAGCUCUGUGCCAACGGAUAAAGCUGUUGCCUGCCGUCUAGGCAUAUAUUUUCUCCAGAACCAGGUGGAAUGUCGGAUAGGUAGUUAAAUUCUGGAAUAUUAAAGUUUGGUUCGCCCUCCAACCCUUCCCCUAAGGGCAUUGUAGUGACAUUUGUAUUGAUUCCAAGGUCGACGGCAUGCAUCUGAGGUUCAAGAGCCCGUAUAUGGGUGUGAUCCAUGUCAGGUAAACUAGCUCUCUGCUCAAGUAAGAAAUGAGCAUCGCCAUCAUUAGUCGAUGGCCCUGGCUGUUGUUCGGAAU